rnacentral:rRNA from 1 species
GAUGAACGCUAGCGGCAGGCUUAAUACAUGCAAGUCGAGGGGCAGCAUGAUUGUAGCAAUACAAUUGAUGGCGACCGGCAAACGGGUGCGGAACACGUACACAACCUUCCAACAAGUGGGGGAUAGCCCAGAGAGAUUUGGAUUAAUACCCCGUAACAUAGCGAUGUGGCAUCACAUUGCUAUUAUAGAUUUUUCGCUUGUUGAUGGGUGUGCGGCUGAUUAGAUAGUUGGGGGGGUAACGGCCCACAAAGGCUACGAUCAGUAGCUGAUGUGAGAGCAUGAUCAGCCACACGGGCACUGAAACACGGGCCCGACUACUACGGGAGGCAGCAGUAAGGAAUAUUGGACAAUGGACGCAAGUCUGAUCCAGCCAUGCCGCGUGAAGGAUUAAGGUCCUCUGGAUUGUAAACUUCUUUUAUAAGGGACGAAAAAAGGCUUUUCUAAGUCGUCUGACGGUACCUUAUGAAUAAGCACCGGCUAACUCCGUGCCAGCAGCCGCCGUAACAC